rnacentral:ribozyme from 1 species
CUUUCCUAUUUCUACUUUUAUGUUGAUCAUAUUGAUCCUUGGUGUAAUUAUUGUAAAACCUGACAGACAUCCUGCUUCAAGGGAGCAAGCUCAAAAGAAAACAAAGUGAUCAAACUUUUUACCGUGAUACAUUUUGUUUAUUUAACUUUUCAAGACCUAAUAAAA